rnacentral:miRNA from 1 species
UAGCAGCAGGUAAAUACUGGAG